rnacentral:rRNA from 1 species
CCCUUAGAUGUCCGGGGCCGCACGCGCGCUACACUGAAGGAAUCAGCGUGGCUUUCUCCCUGACCCGAAAGGGUUGGGAAACCCGUUGAAUCUCCUUCGUGAUAGGGAUUGGGGCUUGAAAUUGUUCCCCAUGAACGAGGAAUUCCCAGUAAGCGCGAGUCAUAAGCUCGCGUUGAUUACGUCCCUGCCCUUUGUACACACCGCCCGUCGCUACUACCGAUUGAACGGUUUAGUGAGGGCCUCGGAUUGGUCUCGGCCCGCUCUUUACCGGGCGGCGCCGUUGGUCGAGAAGACGCUCGAACUUGAUCGUUUAGAGGUAGUAAAAGUCGUAACA